GACGAACGCUGGCGGCGUGCCUGACACAUGCAAGUCGUACGGUCCGUGAUUGAUCAAGCUUGCUUGAUUGGUCGUGGAUAGUGGCGGACGGGUGAGUAACGCGUGAACACCUACCCAUUGGAGGGGUACAACCCGUCGAAAGGCGGGCUAAUACCGCGUAAGCCGCGAGGUGAAAGGCUGCCUUUUGGUGGCUGCCGAUGGAUGGGUUCGCGUCCUAUCAGCUUGUUGGUGGGGUAAUGGCCUACCAAGGCGAAGACGGGUAGCCGGUCUGAGAGGAUGGCCGGCCACACUGGAACUGAGACACGGUCCAGACUCCUACGGGAGGCAGCAGUGGGGAAUCUUGGGGCAAUGGGGGGGACCCGUGACCCAGCGACGCCGCGUGAGGGACGAAGGUUUUCGGAUCGUAAACCUCUGUUGUACGGGAAGAAGGAUGUGACGGUACCGUACGAGUAAGCCCCGGCAAACUACGUG
rnacentral:rRNA from 1 species